GGGCAGGUAGAUCAGCCCGGUAGAUCGCUGCCUUCGCAAGGCAGAAGCCGCGAGUUCGAAUCUCGCCCUGUCCACCA
rnacentral:tRNA from 1 species